GCUCUUCUAGUAUACUAAUUACAAUUGACUUCCAAUCUCUAAAAUCCGGUAACAGCCCGGAGAAGAGCA
rnacentral:tRNA from 1 species